rnacentral:rRNA from 1 species
AGGCUCUGGCGCUUUGAGAGGGACCUGCGGCCCAUCAGCUAGUUGGUAGGGUAACGGCCUACCAAGGCGAAGACGGGUAGGGGGCGUGAGAGCGUGACCCCCCACACUGGCACUGGGACACGGGCCAGACUCCUACGGGAGGCAGCAGUGAGGAAUAUUGCGCAAUGAGCGAAAGCUAGACGCAGCAACGCCGCGUGGGUGAUGAAGGCCUUCGGGUCGUAAAACCCUUUUCUGGGGGAAGAGUAAGGACGGUACCCCAGGAAUAAGCCUCGGCUAACUAUGUGCCAGCAGCCGCGGUAAUACAUAGGAGGCAAGCGUUAUCCGGAUUUACUGGGCGUAAAGAGCGUUGAGGCGGCUUCGUAAGUUGGACGUGAAAGCUCCCGGCUUAACUGGGAGAGGCCGUUCAAUACUGCGGGGCUUGAGGACCGCAGAGGGGGGUGGAAUUUCCGGUGUAGUGGUGAAAUGCGUAGAUAUCGGAAGGAACACCAGUGGCGAAGGCGGCCCCCUGGGCUGCUCCUGACGCUGAAGGCGAAAGCUAGGGUAGCGAACGGGAUUAGAAACCCCGGUAGUCCUAGCCGUAAACGAUGGAUACUAGGUGUAGGAGGUUAAAAUUCCUUCUGUGCCGGAGCUAACGCGUUAAGUAUCCCGCCUGGGGAGUACGGUCGCAAGGCUAAAACUCAAAGGAAUUGACGGGGGCCCGCACAAGCAGCGGAGCGUGUGGUUUAAUUCGAUGCAACGCGAAGAACCUUACCAGGGCUUGACAUGUAGGUAGUGGUGAAGCGAAAGCGGAACGAUCCUUCGGGAAGCCUACACAGGUGCUGCAUGGCUGUCGUCAGCUCGUGCCGUGAGGUGUUAGGUUAAGUCCUGUAACGAGCGCAACCCCUGCCGUUAGUUACAAGUGUCUAACGGGACUGCCCGGCAAAACUGGGAGGAAGGUGGGGAUGACGUCAAGUCAGCAUGGCCUUUAUGUCCUGGGCUACACACACGCUACAAUGGCCGGUACAAUGGGUUGCCAAGCCGCGAGGCGGAGCCAAUCCUCUAAAGCCGGUCUCAGUUCGAAUUGUAGGCUGCAACCCGCCUGCAUGAAGUUGGAGUUGCUAGUAACCGCAGGUCAGCCACACUGCGGUGAAUACGUUCCCGGGCCUUGUACA